AAAAAAAAAAAANAGAAAAAAAAAAAAAAAAAAAAAAAAAAAAAAAAAAAAAAAAAAAAAAAAAAAAGAAAAAAAAAAAAAAUAAGAAAAAAAGUGAAAAAAAAAGAAAGAAAAGAAAAGGAAAACGAAAAAAAAAGAAGAAGAAAAAACGUGAAAGAAAAACAUCCCCAAUCUGUCACCGAGGACUCACCACUACCUCCUCUGUCAGCGAGACACACAACCCUUUUCUCUCCACCCCUCUGCUAUGCCUAAGCCAGAGCGACCCCAACAAACAUCCCCAAUCCUACACCUCAUCAUGCAUCACAUACA
rnacentral:lncRNA from 1 species